GAUGAACGCUGGCGGCGUGCCUAAUACAUGCAAGUCGAGCGAACCACUUCGGUGGUGAGCGGCGAACGGGUGAGUAACACGUAGGUGAUCUGCCCAUCAGACGGGGACAACGAUUGGAAACGAUCGCUAAUACCGGAUAGGACGAAAGUUUAAAGGUGCUUCUGGCACCGCUGAUGGAUGAGCCUGCGGCGCAUUAGCUAGUUGGUAGGGUAAAGGCCUACCAAGGCGACGAUGCGUAGCCGACCUGAGAGGGUGAACGGCCACACUGGGACUGAGACACGGCCCAGACUCCUACGGGAGGCAGCAGUAGGGAAUCUUCGGCAAUGGGCGAAAGCCUGACCGAGCAACGCCGCGUGAUGAUGAAGGCCUUCGGGUUGUAAAAUUCUGUUAUAAGGGAAGAACGACUUUAGUAGGAAAUGGCUAGAGUGUGACGGUACCUUAUGAGAAAGCCACGGCUAACUACGUGCCAGCAGCCGCAGUAA
rnacentral:rRNA from 1 species